rnacentral:rRNA from 1 species
UCUUAACAGCCGCAGUUGAUAGCUGUGCUAAGGUAGCGUAAUAAGUUGUCCUUUAAAUGAGGAAAGGAAUGAAUGGUUUGACGUAAGGAAUGCUGUCUCUAAAAGACAAAAUGAAAUUUUCUUCUCGGUGAAAAGUCUGAGAUUAAAUUAAAAGACGAGAAGACCCUUUUGAGCUUGACUUAUUGGCUUAUUUAUAGGUCAAGAAAUUUUGGUUGGGGCAACUAAGGAGCAAAGCAAGCCUCCUUUAUUUUAUAAAGAUCCAAAACUUUUGAAAAAAGAAAAAGCUACNAUAGGNAUAACAGCGUUAUCUUUUCUGAGAGAACAAAUUGAAGGAAAGGUUUGCGACCUCGAUGUUGAAUUAAAGUUUCCGUUGGCGCAGAAGC